AACAGAUAUGUAUAUGUUUGAAUUUUUGUAAAUUGUCUUGGGUCCUAGAUUGGGGAAAGCAUAAGAUAAAUAUAGUAAUAGUAAUAGAGUCAUGGAGAGAGAGACAGGUAAACAGACUUCUCCUCAUCCUCCUAUCAUACAGAUGCUAGGACAAGGGCACAAAAGUAACCAAUCAGUAAACGCAAAUAACUACUUACCAUUCAGAAUCUAUUUCCUCUUAGCUACCAUACACCACAAAUUGCUACACCAAAUGUAUAUCAGAAAGAGAUGUUCUUGCUUGUCUGGAGAAUUCUAUAGGUUAACAAUUGCUGUCAAGAACCAAGUGUAGAAAGAUGUCUUGUAUUCAUAGCAUCCUGUGAAAGGAAACUGAAAUCUGAUUUAAAUUCAACUGAAAUUGAUUUUUUUCAUAUCUAUUCUUAGUACAGUACAACAUCUUUUCCAUCAGAAAAAUCUCAUUAAUUCUUAACAAUCUCACAUAGAUAUAUCAACAAAUAUUACUCACAAAACAGCAUUUAUCCAUUUUAGUAUAAUGGUUUAGAUUCUGGAUUAUGACUGGAGACCAGGACUUAAAUCUUUCCUCAGCCAUAGAAACCAAUUGAGUUGGGCAAGACACCUUCUCUCAGCCUUAAAGGAUGGCAAAGGACCUUACAGGACCUUCUUGGAAUAAAUAGUGACAAGAAUACCUCAUUAUAGUGUCACUUUAUGAUCACCAUAAGUCAGAAAUGACUCGAAAACAAAGAAUAUCAACAAAAGAAGAUGAAAAGGAGAUCGAUAUUAUGGAGGAGUCUUUGAAUGCAUGUAUUUUCAUACAAAUAAUAACUAUCAGUAGCUAUUACCUGUUCUAACAACAUUGAUGUGGAAGAAACAUUAUUGAGGGCAAAAUGUUCCCCGGGCUGGAAAAUAAAUGGAAGUAGGAGAAGAGAUGAAACGCAUAAGGCAGGGGAAAAUGAAAGACUGCUUAGAUGUAGGAAACAAUGAAGCAAAAAGAACAAAGAUUCACUCAAGGAGAAGGAAACAAACAGGAAGUGUGAUGUGACGAAAGAGCAAUUAUCUGAACAGAAAAUAUCACAAGGCUAAAGCAAGUGUAAUCUCGCCACUGUAUCAUGAGUUAAGUUAAUUGCUCUUGUAUGUUGAUAACGGAGUCUAUGUUCUAGACUAGAAGGGCUACUGAAGUUUAUAUAAACCUAAACAUGAGGUUGGUUCUCAUAAUAAUAUUUACUCAAGAGUAAGGCCUACUUAAAGUGGGAUUUGCUUCCAUGCUCUCAUACAAAGGACUAGGCUGUUGGAAUUGUAUAAAGCCCUAAACAACUGCCUAUUAAGCAAUCAUUAUUUAUACCACAGGAUAGGACUAAUAAAGAUGCACCACAUUGCAAAAGGUUCAAUUUGAGAUGUGUUACAGGAUCCUUUACCACUAUACCUGACCCCUUUGAGGUCCAAAUCUGCUGUUUUUUGCAAUUGUGCCUUAUUAUAUCCUAACAUCAUGAAUAGAAAAUCCAAUAUUUCUAGAUUUUACUAUGAAGAGACCACAGAGACUUUGUAGCAUUCAACUUAAAAUGCUUUUAUUGACAGUGUCUUGAACAGUAAGCGAACAAUGCUUAAAUUUUAUCCAAAUUCACUAUCCACAUGUCAAUACCUCCAGGUAGAAAAAAAACCAAAAUAAAUAAAUAUCCAUAAAUAAAUUAAAA